UACAGAGGUCUCAAGCGUUGUUCGGAUUCAUUGGGCGUAAAGGGUGCGUAGGCGGCGCGGUAAGUCGGGUGUGAAAUCUCGGAGCUUAACUCCGAAACUGCAUUCGAUACUGCCGUGCUUGAGGACUGGAGAGGAGACUGGAAUUUUACGGUGUAGCGGUGAAAUGCGCAGAUAUCGGGAGGAACACCGGUGGCGAAGGCGGUUCUCUGGGCCGUUA
rnacentral:rRNA from 1 species